UGUUCUGUGGUUUAGUUGGUCAAAGUGCCGGUCUAGCGAAUAUAGAGUUGUGGGUUCGAAUCCCACUAGAACGC
rfam:Aedes albopictus isolate Foshan contig49829, whole genome shotgun sequence.